rnacentral:rRNA from 1 species
UCGGAACUAGAGACCGGCGCACGGGUGCGUAACGCGUAUGCAAUCUACCUUUCACAGAGGGAUAGCCCAGAGAAAUUUGGAUUAAUACCUCAUAGUAUAAUGAGUUGGCAUCAACACAUUAUUAAAGUCACAACGGUGAAAGAUGAGCAUGCGUCCCAUUAGCUAGAUGGUAAGGUAACGGCUUACCAUGGCUACGAUGGGUAGGGGUCCUGAGAGGGAGAUCCCCCACACUGGUACUGAGACACGGACCAGACUCCUACGGGAGGCAGCAGUGAGGAAUAUUGGACAAUGGGCGCAAGCCUGAUCCAGCCAUGCCGCGUGCAGGAUGACGGUCCUAUGGAUUGUAAACUGCUUUUGUACAGGAAGAAACACUGGUUCGUGAACCAGCUUGACGGUACUGUAAGAAUAAGGAUCGGCUAACUCCGUGCCAGCAGCCGCGGUAAUACGGAGGAUCCAAGCGUUAUCCGGAAUCAUUGGGUUUAAAGGGUCCGUAGGCGGUUUAGUAAGUCAGUGGUGAAAGCCCAUCGCUCAACGGUGGAACGGCCAUUGAUACUGCUAAACUUGAAUUAUUAGGAAGUAACUAGAAUAUGUAGUGUAGCGGUGAAAUGCUUAGAGAUUACAUGGAAUACCAAUUGCGAAGGCAGGUUACUACUAAUGGAUUGACGCUGAUGGACGAAAGCGUGGGUAGCGAACA